rnacentral:lncRNA from 1 species
GGCGGGGGGGCGGGCGCAGAUCCAGUGCUUCUCGGAGGCGCAGCUGGCCGUCUGGACGUCCCUGUCCCCCAGGUAGGCGCAGUCGGCCCCGCCGCGCACCGCGAACCUACGGCACCUCUGCCUCCUUCUUCCUCCAUCCCUCCUCUUCCUCCAUCCCUCCUUCCUCCUCCUCUUCUUCAGCCCUCCUUCUUCCAGCCCUCCUCCAGCCCUCCUCCUCCUCCCCAAGCCCUCCAGCCGUCCCUCCUCCAGCCCAUCCUUCUCCAUCCUCCAGCUUCCAGCCCUCCUCCUCCAGCCCUCCUCUUCCUCCAUCCCUCCUUCCUCCUCCUCCUCUUCAGCCCUCCUUCCUCCUCCCCCAUCCCCCCCUUCCUCCCUCCUCCUCUUCCUCCUCCUCCCCAAUCCCUCCAGCCAUCCCUCCAUCAGCCCAUCCUUCUCCAUCCUCCAGCUUCCAUCCCUCCUCCUCCUCCUCCAUCCUUCCUCUUCCUCCUCCAGCCCUCCUCUUCCUCCAGCCCUCCUUCCUCCUCCCCACUCCCCCCUUCCUCCUUCCUCCAUCCCUCCUCCUCCUCCUCCUCCCCAAUCCCUCCAGCCGUCCCUCCACCAGCCCAUCCCCCUAGUCCUCCAGCUUCCAUCCCUCCUCCUUUUCCUCCAUCCCUCCUUCCUCCCUCCUCCAUCUCCCCUUCGUCCCUCCUCCUCCUCCCCAACCCCACCAUCCUUCCCUCCUUCAUCCCUCCUCUUCCUCUCCAAUUCCUCCAUCCCUCCCUCAUCCCUCACUCCAUCCCUCCUUCAUCCCUCCUCUUCCUCCCCAACCCCUCCAUCCCUCCCUCCCUCCCUCAUCCCUCUGUCCCUCCUUCCAUCCCUCCCUUCCUCCCUCCUCAUCCUCCAUCCCUCCCUCUUCCCCCAACCUCUCCCCUCUGUCCCCCCCCCCCAAAAUGUCCCCACGGUGUCCCUGUCCCUCACCAGGGCUGGGAGCGGGAGCCGUUGGCCCAGCGCCAGCGGUGCUGGGGGUCCCUCCUGAGCCCCACCCAGUGGUGGGGGGCACCCUUGUGUCGCGCCAGCAGCUCCUGGGGACAACGGGGACACCCCGGGGACAUUGGGGACACCCGGGGAUGGGGGGGGGGGGGGCACCUGGGGACAUGGGGACACCCAGGGACAGGAGACACGGAGACAUGGGGGCAUGCACGGAC